UACGUAGGGCGCAAGCGUUAUCCGGAAUUAUUGGGCGUAAAGAGCUCGUAGGCGGUUUGUCGCGUCUGCCGUGAAAGUCCGGGGCUCAACUCCGGAUCUGCGGUGGGUACGGGCAGACUAGAGUGAUGUAGGGGAGACUGGAAUUCCUGGUGUAGCGGUGAAAUGCGCAGAUAUCAUUAGGAACUCCGGUGGCGAAGGCGGCGCACUGGUCCUUUUCUGACGCUGAGGCGCGAAAGCCAGGGGAGCAAACGGG
rnacentral:rRNA from 1 species